rnacentral:rRNA from 1 species
AACGAACGCUGGCGGCAGGCUUAACACAUGCAAGUCGAACGCCCCGCAAGGGGAGUGGCAGACGGGUGAGUAACGCGUGGGAACAUACCCUUUCCUGCGGAAUAGCUCUGGGAAACUGGAAUUAAUACCGCAUACGCCCUACGGGGGAAAGAUUUAUCGGGGAAGGAUUGGCCCGCGUUGGAUUAGCUAGUUGGUGGGGUAAAGGCCUACCAAGGCGACGAUCCAUAGCUGGUCUGAGAGGAUGAUCAGCCACAUUGGGACUGGGACACGGCCCAAACUCCUACGGGAGGCAGCAGUGGGGAAGAUUGGACAAUGGGCGCAAGCCUGAUCCAGCCAUGCCGCGUGAGUGAUGAAGGCCUUAGGGUUGUAAAGCUCUUUCACCGAUGAAGAUAAUGACGGUAGUCGGAGAAGAAGCCCCGGCUAACUUCGUGCCAGCCGCCGCAGUAAUAC